ensembl:lncRNA
CUUUUUUGUCAUCGGCACAACUAUUCUAUGUACUUUACUGCUCCAGAGAACCAAGUAUUUGCUUUUUGGUCAGUACAUUGAUCUCUAUAGACCUAACAUUAUUUUUUUCUGAUUUCCUCCUCGGAUAUUGUAAAAUGAGAUUGUCUGAAGUGUCAGUGCCUGGGAGAAGAUAGAAAAAGAAGAGAGUCACUUUAUUCUGAAGUAUACCUGUGGGAUAACAUGAUUUAUAUGACAACAAUAAAACCAGCGCAGACAGGCUACAAACUCUCCAAAGCAUAUCUCUGCAAUAUCCACUGAGAAUAAACAGUUUUUAUUUCACUGAAGUGAAUUUGUAACUUGUCAUGAGUUUACGAGGAAGUUGUCUAAAAAAUGAAAGUGUUCUUUUAGUUGACAUGACCAUCACAACAUCUCCAUUGAAGUAACCAAAAACAAUAAACUGCUGAAAUAGUACGCUAAAUAUAUACAAAAGAAAAAUCAAUAUUAUACUAGAAUAUGUAUAUUCUUUAUGGUACCUGAAAGCAACAGAGCAUACGUUUUGGACUUAAAUAAAAGACAUGGGCCAUUUUCUUAACAGUACUUCGCCAGUCUGAAUGAGGUAUAACUGUAAAAACUUAUUUGCUGUUUUCCCAUAAUUUCAGUCAAUUUUAGAGUUGUCUCUGUUUCUAGACAGUAAUCCAGAGAUGAUGAAGACAGGCCACCAGCUGCCAGCUGUUGGAUAAUAAAGCAAGGUCUUUAAUGCGUUCAUUGGCAGAUUGCUGCUGCCGCUAUGAAGGAGACGCAUACAGCGAGCCACAGUUUACGACCGUCGAGCUCACACCCUGCCAACCGAAUUGGCUUCUCACUCCUCCGCUUGGAACCGGGAAUCACGAAGAGAACACGUCCUGCUGAUUGGUCACGUCUGAUUGGUCGAUGUGGCCAAGUGCUGGAUUAAUUGCCGUUGUCAUAAUGCUAUGGCAACACAAGGCUAUUACCCUGAUGGUGGACAUUCAUCAUGUGACGGCAGACGCGAGGCUCCAGCUCAGUGUACUGUGGCGUGGUUGUCUACAAACACUAGUCAUUCCUCUUGUGUGCAUCCUGUUAUACAAAACAUGUCUGCCCGCCCGCUCCGUUGUCAAGCUCCGUUCAGCCACUCAGAACCACAGACACGGCUGCACUUAGUCUUCGCUGAUGGCUGAAUGAAAAAAAAAAUAAACAUACAGACCUACUGCAGUGAUCAGAGAACGGGCCCACGUUCCCAUUCACCCUGGGCUAAUGCAAAUUAAUUUCAACUCUCCAGCAAAUGAUUCCAGGGGACUCGGCCUCUCACUAGGCCCGCAACAAGAGAGAGUUGCAUCCUCUUGAUUAGACGCCAAAUAGUAACCCUGUUCAGUCCACUGCAGUCCGGGACUUCAACACCUGCAUACAAAUGAGUUACACGUCCAUGUCCAUCUCUCUGUCGCUCCCACCCUCUUCUCUUUCAAUCUCGGCCUCUCUCUGUCGCCCUCUUUCUUAUCGUAACCCCGCCUCCGUGUUCAUUACAUUUCAGCAGAUGAAAUCAAAAUGAAGGACCUGAAAGAAAAAUAUGAGUAUUGGACAGCAAUCUUGUCCCAGUACCUAUUAAGCCCCAUGAAAUUCAGUAACUGAAGCAUAAAAUGAAAAUGAAAGGAAGAUUCUGACUGUAAUUUCCCAAUUUCCUCCCAGCAUAUUAGACAAAUUCUAAUCAUGCUGUCCCUCUACAUUGUGUCAUCCAGGAAUUUCAAUAGUUCUUCAAUGUUUAAUUCACAUUUAGUUUACUUUCAACUCUUCUGAAGUGACUUUCGACGACAGCUCCGGAAAAAAAACGGGUUCUGUCCGAGGCUGCUGUGCUGCAUGAAUCAACGAUACGUUUUCUUUUUGGCUUCAAAGCCACUCACGUACAUGAAAGGCACACGUGAUUGAACCUAGUUUGUUUCUUUUCUACAAUCACAUAACCUUGAAGCGAGGGUAGCUCACCUACGUGCACACCAUGAAAUAGUUAUUGAACAUCUGAUUUGAAUGACAGGUGAACCGGAGUCACACGGAAGGAUAUGGUUGGGCCAAAACCAAUUGCAUUCUCUGUAUACUCCAGUUAGAUACACUUUGGACAGCAAGGUGAAAUAUAACCAUUCCAUCUGUUAUUUCAUUUAUUUCACUGUGACUUCUAAGAUCAUCAUCUCAGGCAAUACAAAGAGUAUUUCCAACAAGUCCCCUGCUCGACAAACCUAGAUACUGAUUGAUUUCAUUAAUGCGGUCCGCACAGGUAGUAUAAAUAUGUUUUCCUCCAUUUCACGCCAGAUGCACAGCACACAUCAAAUGUUUGGUUAACUUAAACUAUUGCUGAACUAAAUUAAAAUCCUGCACAACGACAACCUGGCUAUUUUUCUAUUGUCAUGUCUAUGCACAUUAGAAGGAGUAAAUUGAUAUUUCCUAA